GGAAAAUUUGAAGAGAAACUUCCAGAACUGUAUUAUUCCCUCCAAAAUAACAGAGGUUCAGAGAAACUGAGUGUAAAGUGCUUCAAAUAUAAUCAAACUAUCUCCAGUUGCUUGGCUUUAAUCUCAUCAUCAUAGUCAUAUCUCAUUACAAAAUGAAGCACACAGACCAGACAUAAAGAAAAUGUUAUUGGCACUCAACUGCAGUUUUUAAAUCCAGAAAUCUUAGACUACUUAUGGGCAUAAUCUUGUUAAUCUUCAUAAUAUGAUGAGGUUUUGGUCACACUGUUGAAUUCCACACCAACAUGGUGGGUAACAGAACUCUUGCUGACAAACCCAUCUCCCAGAUGGCAUUGAGGAUUGAACUAGGAAAAGGCAUGAAAUCAGGCCCUCUCUUCUUCAAGGAAGACCAUGAACCGGAGCUGUGCAGAUGCUGGGAGGGUUUUCCUACUCCUCAUUCUUCAUUUCCUGUGAUCCUCAAAUUGAUUCUCUGCAUGAAAUCCACCAACUGACACAGUAUAUCUCAAGGCCUCUCCUUUUGUCAUCUAUAAUACUCUUGUAUGGACAUGUACCUAUCUUUUAUUCUGUCCAUGUAAGGACAGUUUAACUUACCAAGCUAAUCAGGAAAAUAUAAUCAUGAAACUGAAGAGGCAUCAGUAAUUUUAGUGGGUGUUUUUGAGUGUUCUUGAACAUAAGCCACUAAAGAAUCUCUUUAACAUGCCCACACAGAUACUCGUAUUAUAAACCCCUGCACACCUUUGCAACCAGUCACUAUGCAUUAGUCAUUUCUCAGCCUUUCCAGGGAAACCCCCAGAGAACAUCGCUUCUUAUUUGUGAAGAGACAGGAGCUGCCACUUACUGUCCUCCCCACCACUGCAGUGGCUUCCAGAAUCAUCUCAAACCUGGGUUCUUCACUUGCUAUAAAGGAGCGCCAUUCAGUAACUCACUCAGGGUAAGCAUGACUUCACAGGGUUUAAGAAGUAAGGAAGUGAAUUUUACAUGUAAUUCUUAUGUAAUUCAUUUGGGGCUAUAGUGCUUACAUUCUUCUUUUUCUUAACCCAAAAUAAAUGUCGACAAUAACAGAGAAAAAUUUAGUUAUUAAAAUAAUUUCAUUUUUCAAUAAUUUUCCCUGUGGUCACUACAGUAGUUAGGUAGGAGGAAAAGGGGAGCAAUGUUAAUGCAGCUAUUAUGAAAAGGACUUUCAUUUUGAUCAUUAAUCACAAAGAUGAUAGGGGAAAGUAGAGGUGGGAAAUGAAGCAGAGAUGCCUUAUUUUAGAAAA